CCCCACCGCGAGCGGCCGCUUGCCGCAGCCCCCGGCCCCGCCCCGGCGCGGGGGAUGGAGGGGCCGCGGGUGACCCCCCUCCCCCCGGCUGGGCGCGGGGAAGCGGCGGCGGCGGCGGCGCUACUUUCCUGCCCGGGCGGACGAGCGCCCCCGGCGAGCCGACGCUUCAGGGUGAUGAACAAGCGCUUUGAUCACAGGACAGACGAUGGGCUCCAGAGCCGUGAGAUUUUACAGGCGAUCAAGGUGGUUUCCCUUCCCCCCCGGUUUGGUCCGUGUGGUGGAGGCCGCAGGGUUCAGGGUGCCAAGCUGUCCCCUGCACCCCUGUCAGAAACUUGAAAAGGAAGGAGCUGGAGGUGGUGGUGGCUCGGCUGCGAGAGGAAAGGCGGCAGGAGCCGAGGCUGGGAUGGAAGCACCGGAGCCCCUGGCACUUGAGGCGGGGCUGGCCGCCAGCUGCACCCUCCUGCUCUCCCCAGAUGAACUUCUCUGGCAACAGAAAAGUUUUGUGCCUCAGGUGACCCGUGGGCCAGAUAGAAUUUUGCCCAUCCCUGCCCUAAUCCAUGCAGCAUCAGAACUACAGCCACUUCUAGGUUGGAGGGCAGCAGCUAUGUAGUCCACAGGUAUGCAGCUUAGAUGUGAACUCCAGCUGCACUGCAAAAAGGAUCGUGGAACAUCUGACUAAGGACAUGGGCAAAUGUUCACCCUUAUGAGAGCACAACGGUUCAGUAAGAGCUGAAAAGGACCUCAGCCAAUGCCAUGAGAUUAAAAAAGCCUUUUUUUGGGUAGCUAGCCUUCAGGACAAAUAAUCACAUCAGGAUGUUCAUAUUGGCACCAGUACUAUACUUUCAUGGCUGUGAUACAAAAGCACAACCUGCUUUUACAAAACAUGAAAGAGAUUGAGAUGUUUGGGAAAUAUUUCACUUUGUAGAGAACAGACCUAUUUUAACUGGUUCAGGGUACAUUCUUCCUGAAGAGGGAGAGAAAGACUAGGGCCCUGACAACACAUUGUUCACGAGGGGGCCAUUUCAUUUUUACUAGAAUUUAUUGAAACGUUAUUAAUCCACACAUUUUAAAACCUGAUUUUGUACAAGCUUGGAGAUUCUUAACUGUUUUAAGAAACUACAUAUUGAUGUUGAAUUCAAUACAAAUGCCCCUUUGGAUCUUCCUGGUUUGACAUGGGCUCCUAGUUCAAAAUGCCAUGAGAGAAACUAUUGCAGGGAGAUGUUUUUGCCAUUGUUUUUAGAGCUCUCCCUGGUGGAUAUAUGGGGUUUAAGAAUAUUUUUUGCAUACUUUCUAUUGCAUUAAAUAGACCCUUUUAACUCUGGACAACCAGGUUUUUCCUUUUCUUUUUGGCAGACAAUUACAGUGCUAAGUACUAAUACUGUUUGUCUGCUGAAAUCCUUCCCUUGUAGGUUAGCAUCCAACCCUUUAAGACAUUAACAGUACACAUUAAUAACUUCUAAUUAACAAGUUAUGGGGAACUGCAUAUAAAUGCCCUUUCCAAGUGUGCAGGUACCUUUUCUCCGUUAAAGCCCGCUCCGCCUUCCCCCCGAAAAAACACCCUACUGCAGCUAAAACUUGCAUAAUGGCUUCUCUCUCUUUAGGUACUUAAUUCCCCUCCAAGGAUUUCCAGCUAUAAUGAAUUCAGAAUUAUUUUGCUCUGCCACAUGUUAUGGAUUUGUGCCAGUGCUGCUGUUUGCUGCAGUGCAAAGUACUUGGAGAGAAAAAAAGAAUUGGACUAGAAACUGAAGCCAAGUCAGCAGAACUCAAUUUUGACCCCUUUCUAGUUGUCUAGGGAGUGGUGCACUUGGACUCUGAACAAGUUUCACCACGUUCUCCCAGUCCAAAGGAAAGUAUCUGUAUUACAUGAUGCUGAACAGGGAAAAAUGAAGUGGAGGAAAUGGGUGGAAGUCUAAAGGCUCCAAGAGGUCAAUGGAAGAACCCAGUUCUCUUUAAAAGCAAGAUUCCUCACUCUCAAUACAGAUAAUACACUCAUCAUGGCAAAAACCCUCAAGGAAAAUUCACCCUUUUUUUAUUUGGUUCUGUCCAGGGGGAAGGCGAGAAAAAAAACAUUCCUUAUUUCAACACACAAACUUGCAAGUGCUUUUCAAAUAUGGUUGAGUGCUCUACCAACUGAAUAACAAAGGCAGGAUAAGGUAGCAUCUUAUCAACUAGUUCAGAGACAUGAGCUUUCAUAGACUAUGGCCUAGUAUUCCUGUUCUCUGCAAGUCUGUUUAUAGCAUCUGACAAAGUAGGCUAUAAAAGGACUUGCAGAGAGCAGAGGUACUAGUCUGUAGCCUACAAAAGCGCAUGCCUCUCUGAACAAGUCAGAUUUCAAAGGUGCCACCUUGUCCUGACUUCUACCUAAUUAACCCCUCUCAGGUUCUAUUACUUCACCUUCUGACACCUGGUCUAGAUAGGGCCUCUGUCCUUUAUUGCAAGCUUUUCCACUGUAACAUCUAUAAUCAUAUCCAAAGCAAGAGAACAAACCUCCUCCUGCUUCCCCAAAAGUUAAAGUAAAGGGUGCAAGGAGGAAAGAGUCCUUUCUAGGGCUUUGGUAUGUAUAGCUCCACACCUUCGCUUCUUCCUUGGCUCUUCUUUCCAUAUCAAAAGUCCUUUCUCCGAUUUCAGUCUACUUUGACCACUGCGAAAGGGUUAUGGCUGGGUAGUUCAUUGAAUCAAUCUCCAUCAAGAACACCACUAUGAAACUAGAGCUUUGUAUUCCCGUUAAUUCCAGAUUUAUGGUACCCUACUAAAAUGGUCCUAUGAACACUCUGCUGUCCUCUGGGCUUGUAAAAUAAAACAUGCAUCCUACAUAAACAAUAAACAUUGUCCAGCUAUUAUAUGUAACAAUUCAUUAAAGAAUCUCAAAGUAA